rnacentral:rRNA from 2 species
UUGAUCCUGGCUCAGGAUGAACGCUGGCGGCGUGCCUAAUACAUGCAAGUCGAGCGAACUGAUUAGAAGCUUGCUUCUAUGACGUAGCGGCGGACGGGUGAGUAACACGUGGGCAACCUGCCUGUAAGACUGGGAUAACUUCGGGAAACCGAAGCUAAUACCGGAUAGGAUCUUCUCCUUCAUGGGAGAUGAUUGAAAGAUGGUUUCGGCUAUCACUUACAGAUGGGCCCGCGGUGCAUUAGCUAGUUGGUGAGGUAACGGCUCACCAAGGCAACGAUGCAUAGCCGACCUGAGAGGGUGAUCGGCCACACUGGGACUGAGACACGGCCCAGACUCCUACGGGAGGCAGCAGUAGGGAAUCUUCCGCAAUGGACGAAAGUCUGACGGAGCAACGCCGCGUGAGUGAUGAAGGCUUUCGGGUCGUAAAACUCUGUUGUUAGGGAAGAACAAGUACAAGAGUAACUGCUUGUACCUUGACGGUACCUAACCAGAAAGCCACGGCUAACUACGUGCCAGCAGCCGCGGUAAUACGUAGGUGGCAAGCGUUAUCCGGAAUUAUUGGGCGUAAAGCGCGCGCAGGCGGUUUCUUAAGUCUGAUGUGAAAGCCCACGGCUCAACCGUGGAGGGUCAUUGGAAACUGGGGAACUUGAGUGCAGAAGAGAAAAGCGGAAUUCCACGUGUAGCGGUGAAAUGCGUAGAGAUGUGGAGGAACACCAGUGGCGAAGGCGGCUUUUUGGUCUUGUAACUGACGCUGAGGCGCGAAAGCGUGGGGAGCAAACGGGAUUAGAUU